CCUACGGGAGGCAGCAGUGGGGAAUAUUGGACAAUGGGGGCAACCCUGAUCCAGCCAUGCCGCGUGUGUGAAGAAGGCCCUCGGGUUGUAAAGCACUUUCAGUGAGGAAGAACGCCUGGUGGUUAAUACCCAUCAGGAAAGACAUCACUCACAGAAGAAGCACCGGCUAAACUCCGUGCCAGCAGCCGCGGUAAUACGGAGGGUGCGAGCGUUAAUCGGAAUUACUGGGCGUAAAGCGCGCGUAGGUGGCUUGAUAAGCCGGUUGUGAAAGCCCCGGGCUCAACCUGGGAACGGCAUCCGGAACUGUCAAGCUAGAGUGCAGGAGAGGAAGGUAGAAUUCCCGGUGUAGCGGUGAAAUGCGUAGAGAUCGGGAGGAAUACCAGUGGCGAAGGCGGCCUUCUGGACUGACACUGACACUGAGGUGCGAAAGCGUGGGUAGCAAACAGGAUUAGAUACCCUGGUAGUC
rnacentral:rRNA from 1 species